UACGAAGGGUGCAAGCGUUACUCGGAAUUACUGGGCGUAAAGCGUGCGUAGGCGGUUUGUUAAGUCCGUUGUGAAAGCCCUGGGCUCAACCUGGGAAUUGCAGUGGAUACUGGCAAACUAGAGUACGGUAGAGGAUGGUGGAAUUCCCGGUGUAGCGGUGAAAUGCGUAGAGAUCGGGAGGAACACCCGUGGCGAAGGCGGCCAUCUGGACCAGUACUGACGCUGAGGCACGAAAGCGUGGGGAGCAAACAGG
rnacentral:rRNA from 1 species